rnacentral:rRNA from 1 species
UACGGAGGGAGCUAGCGUUGUUCGGAAUUACUGGGCGUAAAGCGUACGUAGGCGGCUUUGUAAGUAAGAGGUGAAAGCCCGGAGCUCAACUCCGGAACUGCCUUUUAGACUGCAUCGCUUGAAUCCAGGAGAGGUGAGUGGAAUUCCGAGUGUAGAGGUGAAAAUUCGUAGAUAUUCGGAAGAACACCAGUGGCGAAGGCGGCUCACUGGACUGGUAUUGACGCUGAGGUACGAAGGCGUGGGGGAGCAAACAGGG